UCAAGUUAUUAAGGGUGCAGGGCGGAUGCCUUGGCACUAGGAGCCGAUGAAGGACGUGAUAAGCUGCGAUAAGCUUCGGGGAGUUGCACGUAAACUUUGAUCCGAAGAUUUCCGAAUGAGGAAACUCACUUAGAGUAAUGUCUAAGUAUCAUUAAGUGAAUACAUAGCUUAAUGAGGGGAACUCAGGGAACUGAAACAUCUAAGUACCUGAAGGAAGAGAAAGAAAUUCGAUUCCGUAAGUAGCGGCGAGCGAACGCGGAUUAGCCCAAACCAAUAAAGUUUUCUUUAUUGGGGUUGCGGACAUAUCAUAACGAAGAGGUAUCGUAAUUGAAGAGGUUUGGAAAGACCCACCACAGAAGGUAAUAGUCCUGUAUGUUAAACGAGAAGACUUCAGAUAUGAUCCAGAGUACCACGGGACACGUGAAACCCUGUGGGAAGCAGGAGGGACCACCCUCCAAGGCUAAAUACUACCUAGUGACCGAUAGCGUAUAGUACCGUGAGGGAAAGGUGAAAAGAACCCCGGGAGGGGAGUGAAAUAGAACCUGAAACCCUGCACUUACAAGCUGUGGAAGCACAUUUCUUGUGUGACCGCGUACUUUUUGUAGAACGGGCCAACGAGUUACGUUAAGUAGCAAGGUUAAGCACUUAAGGUGCGGAGCCGUAGCGAAAGCGAGUUUUAACUGAGCGUUCAGUUACUUGACGUAGACCCGAAACCGGGCGACCUACCCAUGAGCAGGAUGAAGCGAAAGUAAAAUUUCGUGGAGGUCCGAACCCACGAGCGUUGAAAAGCUCGGGGAUGACUUGUGGGUAGCGGUGAAAUUCCAAUCGAGCCCGGAGAUAGCUGGUUCUCCCCGAAAUAGCUUUAGGGCUAGCCUCAAGGUGAGAGAUACGGAGGUAGAGCACUGAAUGUCCUAGGGGGUAUUGCACCUACCGAAGACUAUCAAACUCCGAAUGCCGUCAUCUUAUACUUGGGAGUCAGACUGUGGGUGAUAAGAUUCAUAGUCGAAAGGGCAACAGCCCAGAUCGUCAGCUAAGGUCCCUAAAUGUAAGUUAAGUGGUAAAGGAUGUGGGAUUGCACAGACAACCAGGAUGUUGGCUUAGAAGCAGCCACUCAUUCAAAGAGUGCGUAAUAGCUCACUGGUCGAGUGAUCCUGCGCCGAAGAUUUCCGGGGCUAAAACUUACUACCGAAGCUACGGCAUCAGUAAUGAUGGGUAGGGGAGCUUCCCAUACGGGUUGAAGCAUGACCGUAAGGACAUGUGGACAGUAUGGGAGUGAGAAUGUUGGCAUGAGUAGCGAGAUGUGGGUGAGAAUCCCACAGGCCGUAAACCCAAGGUUUCCAGGGGAAGGUUCGUCCGCCCUGGGUUAGUCGGGACCUAAGCUGAGGCCGAAAGGCGUAGGUGAUGGACAACAGGUUGAUAUUCCUGUACUACCGAUAACCGUUUGAGAGAAGGGAUGACACAGUAGGAUAAGCUAAGCACACUGUUGGUUAUGUGUGCCCAAGCAUUGAGGCAGUCAAAGUAGGCAAAUCCGCUUUGAUAAUGCUGGGAUGUGAUGGGGAGCGAAAUUUAGUAGCGAAGUAGCUGAUUUCACACUGUCAAGAAAAGUCUCUAUCGAGGUUAAAGGUACCCGUACCGCAAACCGACACAGGUGGGUGAGGAGAGUAUCCUAAGGCCAGCGAGAGAACUGUUGUUAAGGAACUCGGCAAAAUGACCCCGUAACUUAGGGAUAAGGGGUGCCACCAUCAGGUGGCCGCAGAGAAUAGGCCCAAGCGACUGUUUACCAAAAACAUAGGUUUCUGCUAAGUCGCAAGACGAUGUAUAGGAGCUGACGCCUGCCCGGUGCUGGAAGGUUAAGGGGAUCUGUUAGAGCAAUCGAAGCAGUGAACUUAAGCCCCAGUAAACGGCGGCCGUAACUAUAACGGUCCUAAGGUAGCGAAAUUCCUUGUCGGGUAAGUUCCGACCCGCACGAAAGGCGUAACGAUUUGGGCACUGUCUCAACAACAGACUCGGUGAAAUUGUAAUUCCGGUGAAGAUGCCGGAUACCUGCGACAGGACGGAAAGACCCCAUGGAGCUUUACUGUAGCUUGACAUUGGGUCUUGGUACUACAUGUACAGGAUAGGUGGGAGGCUUUGAAACCAGGACGCCAGUUUUGGCGGAGCCAUCCUUGGGAUACCACCCUUGUAGUACUGGGACUCUAACCAUAGGCCAUGAAUCUGGUCUUGGGACACUGUCAGGCGGGCAGUUUGACUGGGGCGGUCGCCUCCCAAAAGGGAACGGAGGCGCUCAAAGGUUCUCUCAGUACGGUCGGAAAUCGUACGUAGAGUGUA
rnacentral:rRNA from 1 species